rnacentral:rRNA from 1 species
ACCUGACCUCGGAUCAGACGUGAAC